GACGAACGCUGGCGGCGUGCUUAACACAUGCAAGUCGAACGGAAAGGCCCUGCGUUUGUGGGGUGCUCGAGUGGCGAACGGGUGAGUAACACGUGAGUAACCUGCCCUUGACUUUGGGGUAACUUCAGGAAACUGGGGCUAAUACCGGAUAGGAGCUCCUGCUGCAUGGUGGGGGUUGGAAAUUUUCGGCGGUUGGGGAUGGACGCGCGGCUUAUCAGCUUGUUGGUGGGGUAGUGGAUUACCAAGUCUUUGACGGAUAGCCGGCCUGAGAGGGUGACCGGCCACAUUAGGACUGAGAGACGGACCAGACGGCUACGGGAGGCAGCAGUCGGAAAUAUUGCACAGUGAGAGGGAGCCUGAUGCGACAGCGCCGCGUGCGGGAUGCCGGCUUUCGGGUUAUGAACCGCUUUCGCCUGUGACGAAGCGUGAGUGACGGUAAUGGGUAAAGAAGCACCGGCUAACUACGUG
rnacentral:rRNA from 1 species